rnacentral:rRNA from 1 species
CGUAGCUAGGUGUGAGGAACCGGGGAAAUAGUUGUGGUUCGAGUGGUAGUGGGUGUUAGUGGGCGUAAAGGGUAUUGAGGUGGUUCAUUAAGUCGGUGGGGGAAUACAGGGGGUUGACCUGGGAACUGCGGUCGAUACUGGUGAACUAGAGUGCGGUAGAGGUGGGCGGAACGCCGGGGGUAGCGGUGAAAUGCGUAGAUAUCCGGAAGAACACCGAGGGCGAAGGCAACCACCUGGGCCUGCACUGACGCUGAGGUACGAAAGCGUGGGGAGCAAACAGGAUUAGAUACCCGGGUAGUC